UUUUGACCACGCUUUGCAAAAGGUACACUUUCCUAUUAUCAUUCUUUUGUUCCCUCUGGUCUAAGAAACUCCAGUUUAUUUGUUUACGUACUGAUUUUGUGAUUUGACCAUAGGAAAUAAAAAGGAUGUUGUGAUUUACAAUGAUUGGUUAGCUGCUGCCGUGCAGGACUUUGAAAAACUCAUUUCAUGGUCUAAUGCCUUGUCCAUGUGCUACUUUUCUGGGACCCAGUUGAAAUUUUAGAUGAGCUUCAUUUUUAAUUAUGUUUCCUUUUAUCUCUGUGUGUGUGUGUGUGUG
rnacentral:misc_RNA from 1 species